AUGAACGCUAGCUACAGGCUUAACACAUGCAAGUCGAGGGGCAUCAGUUUGGUUUGCUUGCAAACCAAAGCUGGCGACCGGCGCACGGGUGAGUAACACGUAUCCAACCUGCCUCAUACUCGGGGAUAGCCUUUCGAAAGAAAGAUUAAUAUCCGAUAGCAUAUAUUUCCCGCAUGGGUUUUAUAUUAAAGAAAUUCGGUAUGAGAUGGGGAUGCGUUCCAUUAGUUUGUUGGGGGGGUAACGGCCCACCAAGACUACGAUGGAUAGGGGUUCUGAGAGGAAGGUCCCCCACAUUGGAACUGAGACACGGUCCAAACUCCUACGGGAGGCAGCAGUGAGGAAUAUUGGUCAAUGGACGCGAGUCUGAACCAGCCAAGUAGCGUGAAGGAUGACUGCCCUAUGGGUUGUAAACUUCUUUUAUAUGGGAAUAAAGUUGUCCACGUGUGGAUUUUUGUAUGUACCAUAUGAAUAAGGAUCGGCUAACUCCGUGCCAGCAGCCGCGGUAAUACGGAGGAUCCGAGCGUUAUCCGGAUUUAUUGGGUUUAAAGGGAGCGUAGGCGGAUUGUUAAGUCAGUUGUGAAAGUUUGCGGCUCAACCGUAAAAUUGCAGUUGAUACUGGCAGUCUUGAGUGCAGUAGAGGUGGGCGGAAUUCGUGGUGUAGCGGUGAAAUGCUUAGAUAUCACGAAGAACUCCGAUUGCGAAGGCAGCUCACUGGAGUGUAACUGACGCUGAUGCUCGAAAGUGUGGGUAUCAAACAGGAUUAGAUACCCUGGUAGUCCACACAGUAAACGAUGAAUACUCGCUGUUUGCGAUAUACAGUAAGCGGCCAAGCGAAAGCAUUAAGUAUUCCACCUGGGGAGUACGCCGGCAACGGUGAAACUCAAAGGAAUUGACGGGGGCCCGCACAAGCGGUGGAGCAUGUGGUUUAAUUCGAAGCAACGCGAAGAACCUUACCAGGUCUUGACAUCGAUCUAAAAGGGAUGGAGACAUCCUCAUAGCUAUAGAGAAGACAGGUGGUGCAUGGUUGUCGUCAGCUCGUGCCGUGAGGUGUCGGCUUAAGUGCCAUAACGAGCGCAACCCUUAUCUUCAGUUACUAACAGGUCAUGCUGAGGACUCUGGAGAGACUGCCGUCGUAAGAUGUGAGGAAGGUGGGGAUGACGUCAAAUCAGCACGGCCCUUACGUCCGGGGCUACACACGUGUUACAAUGGGGGGUACAGAAGGCCGCUACCUGGUGACAGGAUGCCAAUCCCAAAAACCUCUCUCAGUUCGGAUCGAAGUCUGCAACCCGACUUCGUGAAGCUGGAUUCGCUAGUAAUCGCGCAUCAGCCAUGGCGCGGUGAAUACGUUCCCGGGCCUUGUACACACCGCCCGUCAAGCCAUGAAAGCCGGGGGUACCUGAAGUACGUAACCGCAAGGAGCGUCCUAGGGUAAAACUGGUAAUUGGGGCU
rnacentral:rRNA from 1 species